UCUGCCCAGUGUCACAACUGCGCCAGAGUCUCAUCAUUGCAGGCUCUCCAUGAGCAGGACAGGGGAGGUGAUGCCAGGUCUGUUGUGACCACAUGUCAGGGGAUAUUUGAGGUCACUUUGUGUUGACUCCUGUGAGCUGGGAUGACAGAGGAAGUGCAGGAAUGAGAUGAAGAUGAAUAGCAAGUCCCCAAGGGUCAGAGGCAUAACUCUCAUGAAUUAUUUAGAUUCAUACAGUCCUGGAGUGAGCCCUGGAGUGCUUCAAGUAUUCACAAGGAAGGCUCUCGAAGCUUGCCUCAAGGAAUCACACUUGGCGUGGCAGGAGAGGGAAGUGAAGUGUGCUGGCAGCAGCGUGAGCCUGAGAUAAAGAUUGGGCCACAGUCCUCAGAUGAGGUUCUCUGUACGUCUGUGCUUGUGGGGACAUUGCCAUCAUUUGUGCCCAGUGGUAUCUAACUUCAAAAUGAUUUU